rnacentral:rRNA from 1 species
CCUACGGGAGGCAGCAGUGAGGAAUAUUGGUCAAUGGGCUUACGCCUGAACCAGCCAAGUCGCGUGAGGGAAGACUGCCCUAUGGGUUGUAAACCUCUUUUGUCAGGGAGCAACGCCGGCUACGUGUAGCCGGACUGAGAGUACCUGAAGAAAAAGCAUCGGCUAACUCCGUGCCAGCAGCCGCGGUAAUACGGAGGAUGCGAGCGUUAUCCGGAUUUAUUGGGUUUAAAGGGUGCGUAGGCGGGCGAGAAAGUUGAAUGUUAAAUCUACCGGCUUAACUGGUAGCUGCGUUCAAAACUUCUUGUCUUGAGUGAAGUAGAGGCAGGCGGAAUUCCUAGUGUAGCGGUGAAAUGCGUAGAUAUUAGGAGGAACACCAGUGGCGAAGGCGGCCUGCUGGGCUUUAACUGACGCUGAGGCUCGAAAGCGUGGGGAGCAAACAGGAUUAGAUACCCUAGUAGUC